GUCUUCAUUCUUCUGUUUGGACUCUACCCUGAUGAGAUUUAAUCCCUCCAGACCCAUGAGAAGGAGGCACUGUCUUCAACAAUGUACAUGAAGGAGUGAAUCACCUAGAAAAACCUGGCUUCAGUGGCCAGGUCCAGCAUUCCACAUCAGUGGUGAUCAGUUUACUGAGAAGGAAGCCAUGUGAUGUACAGGUUCUUCAAAAGAAAAAUCAAGCUUUGUCUGAAGGCCAAGCUUUAUUACAAGGAGGGAUCAAUUUCCACUAUUUAAGGAUAUCAAAGAGGUUUCAAAUCACCUUCAAUAUUGCUCAAUUAGUUGAAAGUGAGUUUCAUUGUGGACCUAUAUUUUUCUGUAUCCCUGUCAUUACUCAUAGUAAUGACCUAAUAUUUAAGAUCCAAUUCAGACCUCUUAUGAGGGUGAAAUCAAUUACUUUAUUUAGGUCAAUUAUAUUGAAUUCUAUACUCAAAUAUUUUACAAAUACAGCUUUGUUUGUUUAUUCCUUUGUUUACUUUAUUUUCCCAUUGUAA
rnacentral:lncRNA from 1 species